CCUACGGGAGGCAGCAGUGGGGAAUUUUGGACAAUGGGCGAAAGCCUGAUCCAGCCAUACCGCGUGCGGGAAGAAGGCCUUCGGGUUGUAAACCGCUUUUGUCAGGGAAGAAAUACCUCGGGUUAAUACCCUGGGGUGAUGACGGUACCUGAAGAAUAAGCACCGGCUAACUACGUGCCAGCAGCCGCGGUAAUACGUAGGGUGCAAGCGUUAAUCGGAAUUACUGGGCGUAAAGCGUGCGCAGGCGGUUCUAUAAGACAGAUGUGAAAUCCCCGGGCUCAACCUGGGAACUGCAUUUGUGACUGUAGAGCUAGAGUACGGUAGAGGGGGAUGGAAUUCCGCGUGUAGCAGUGAAAUGCGUAGAUAUGCGGAGGAACACCGAUGGCGAAGGCAAUCCCCUGGACCUGUACUGACGCUCAUGCACGAAAGCGUGGGGAGCAAACAGGAUUAGAUACCCUGGUAGUCCACGCCCUAAACGAUGUCAACUGGUUGUUGGGAGGGUUUCUUCUCAGUAACGAAGCUAACGCGUGAAGUUGACCGCCUGGGGAGUACGGCCGCAAGGUUGAAACUCAAAUGAAUUGACGGCGNGAGACGUGCGAGACGACGACGAGGGAGGAG
rnacentral:rRNA from 1 species